rnacentral:tRNA from 1 species
CAGUAGCUGAGUGGAUAACGUGAUGGCGUUUGAAGCGAAAGUUGCUGGGUUCGAGUCCCAGAGUGAA